CAUUGAAGACAAUACCGCUGUUAGUCCUUUCAGGCUGCAGAAGGUCACCUUCGCCUACCAUAAUGCUUGAACUACUCGCAGGGACCCUAUAACUGAAAUCUCUUUGAUCAAAUUCUGUAUCUGAACUUCUGUCAGGUGUUGUUACCCUUGGGCUCAGGGAGAAAUGGUCCCUGCCUGCCAUAUAACUGAAAUCUCUUUGAUCAAAUUCAGUAUCUGAACUUCUGUCAGGUGUUGUUACCCUUGGGCUCAGGGAGAAAUGGUCCCUGCCUGCCAUCUGAGGAACAAUAUUGUUGAGGUCAAUAGUCAAUCCUUUGUUCAGUCGCGAACCAAUUUCCAAGUUCUGGACAAAGUCAAUAAACUUAUCAGCU
rnacentral:lncRNA from 1 species